rnacentral:rRNA from 1 species
CCUACGGGAGGCUGCAGUGAGGAAUAUUGGUCAAUGGACGAGAGUCUGAACCAGCCAAGUAGCGUGAAGGAAGACGGCCCUAUGGGUUGUAAACUUCUUUUAUAGGGGAAUAAAAUGUGCCACGUGGGGGGUUUUGUGUGUACCAUAUGAAUAAGGAUCGGCUAACUCCGUGCCAGCAGCCGCGGUAAUACGGAGGAUCCGAGCGUUAUCCGGAUUUAUUGGGUUUAAAGGGAGCGUAGGUGGAUUGUUAAGUCAGUUGUUAAAGUUUGGGGCUCCACCGUCAAAUUGCCGUUGAAACUGGCAGUCUUGAGUACAGUAGAGGUAGGCGGAAUUCGUGGUGUAGCGGUGAAAUGCUUAGAUAUCACGCAGAACUCCGAUUGCGAAGGCAGCUCACUGGACUGCAACUGACACUGAGGCUCGAAAGUGUGGGUAUCAAACAGGAUUAGAUACCCUAGUAGUC